rnacentral:rRNA from 1 species
UGGGGAAUAUUGCACAAUGGGCGCAAGCCUGAUGCAGCCAUGCCGCGUGUAUGAAGAAGGCCUUCGGGUUGUAAAGUACUUUCAGUUGGGAGGAAGGUGGUAAGGUUAAUAACCUUAUCAAUUGACGUUACCGACAGAAGAAGCACCGGCUAACUCCGUGCCAGCAGCCGCGGUAAUUCGGAGGGUGCAAGCGUUAAACGGAAUUACUUGGCGUAAAGCGCACGCAGGCGGUUGAUUGAGUCAGAUGUGAAAUCCCCGGGCUUAACCCGGGAAUUGCAUCUGAUACUGGUCAGCUAGAGUCUUGUAGAGGGGGGUAGAAUUCCAUGUGUAGCGGUGAAAUGCGUAGAGAUGUGGAGGAAUACCGGUGGCGAAGGCGGCCCCCGGAACAAAGACUGACGCACAGGUGCGAAAGCGUGGGGAGCAAACAGG